UACGUAGGGUGCAAGCGUUGUCCGGAAUUAUUGGGCGUAAAGAGCUCGUAGGCGGUCUGUCGCGUCGGCUGUGAAAACUCAGGGCUCAACCCUGGGCCUGCAGUCGAUACGGGCAGACUAGAGUCCGGCAGGGGAGACUGGAAUUCCUGGUGUAGCGGUGAAAUGCGCAGAUAUCAGGAGGAACACCGGUGGCGAAGGCGGGUCUCUGGGCCGUAACUGACGCUGAGGAGCGAAAGCGUGGGGAGCGAACAGG
rnacentral:rRNA from 1 species